GAACAACCAUCAAAGCCCUUCCCCUCACCACCAUUUCCUAGCCCCCUCACCGCCGGCGGAAUCCAGAACCCUAUCCGGCCCGCGUCGCCGGAAAGGCGGGAUCUUUGCCUCCCCGCUCCGGCGCCGGCCGCGUUAACGUACCGCACCGACCAAGUUAGGGAAAUCCGAUCUGGAGCUCGGAUUCGGCGGAAAGACGCGAGCUUGACGCAAUGGCGCCGUCUUUCGACUGGUGGGCGAAGGAGAAGCACCGGGGGACGCCGGUGGUGGUGAAGAUGGAGAACCCCAACUGGUCCAUGGUGGAGAUCUCGUCUCCGGAUGACUUCGACGACGACUUCGCCGCCGCCGACGACGGCGGCAGCGCCGGCCGGAAAGGUGGCCGCGGGAAGAACGCCAAGCAGCUGACUUGGGUCCUCCUCCUCAAGGCGCACCGCGCCGCCGGCUGCCUCUCCUCCCUCGGCUCCGCCGCGGCGGGGCUUGCCGCCGCCGUGCGGCGGCGCGUCGCAGCCGGGCGGACGGACUCCGACGCCGCCCCGGUUGAGGAAAGCCCGGCGCUACGGAGCCGGUUUUACGUCUUCAUCAAGGCAUUCCUCUGGCUCUCCAUCGCCCUUCUCCUCUUCGAGAUUGCCGCCUAUAUGAAGGGCUGGCAUCUCAACGCCGCCGAGCUACGGGGCUGGCACGUCGGCGCCGACGAUAUCCGGCGCCUCGUGCAGCCCUACUCGUCGGCGCUGGACGUCCGCGGGCUUUUCGGUGCGGUGUAUUCAGCGUGGGUCGCUGCGAGAGUGAAGUACCUAGCGCCGCCGCUCCAGUUCCUCACCAGCACCUGUGUUGUGCUGUUCCUCAUUCAGAGCGCCGACCGCCUCUCGCUAUGCCUCGGCUGCUUCUGGAUCCGGUUCAAGGGCAUCAAGCCGGUCCCUUGCCCAGAUGAUCUUGAGGC
rnacentral:misc_RNA from 1 species